rnacentral:rRNA from 1 species
AUGCUCGCCGCCGCGCGCGGCUGCUACGAUAUCUUCCACCUCGCCUUGCCCUGCACCGUCGACCGCGUCCUGGACCCCCAAGUACUGCUGCUCCAUGACCGUCCUGCCGUUGUUCCUUUAGAGUUUAGACCUCUCAGUAUGAGUACGGGGUGGCCUCUGUCUCAUUUUGUGGCUGCAGAAGGAGCGGGUAGCGCCGGCCGUGGAAGGGACGCUCCACGUGCUGCGCGCCGCCAAGGAUGUCGGGGCGUGGGCGGGGUGGUGGUGACCUCGGCCAUCUCCGCCGUCGUGCCUAGCCCGGGCCGGCCGGCCGGGGAGGUCCUCGAUGAGAGCUGCUGGACCAACAUCGACUACUACUGCGACAAGAACAGGAUGAUUCCGCCAAGGAUCAAUGCUAGCAUAGCCAUGUUUCUUCACUUGAAGGUUGCCCAGAGGAGUAUAAGGAUUUCCUCAUCGGGCCAGUCCACGUGGAACAGAACAAGAUGA